CUUUAAAAGGCCAUGCUGUAGCAGGCUAGUGAUAACAGGCUUUAAUCUUUCUAAAGCGUGCUGCGGGAUGCGAUAUUGGCGUUGAGUGGGGUAAGGGUGAUUAGGUUUUAAUGAGAUGGUAAGAGGUGCAUGAUCGGUCGCCAAGGAGGGAGUAGAGGUAUCUUAUACUUGUGGGUUAAGGCUGGGGGAUACAAGAGGAGGACGCAAAGGAGGCUUUGGAUUGGGAAGAAGGGCGGCAAUGAGAUAUAGCUGUAGUCCCCCAAUCCGAGUUGCGGCACCAAAUUUCAUGCACGUCUUUGUGGUUUGUUUUUAUUUUGUGUUCAGCUGAAACCUGCCUCUGUAUUAUUUUUUCAAUUGUCCCUAGCCCACUCCUAUAGUAUUUUAUUCUUCAUAACAGGAUUUCAUCAUCUUCUUUU
rnacentral:lncRNA from 10 species